rnacentral:lncRNA from 1 species
UUUUCAUUGAUCCCAAUGAGGUGUAUUGUUCAGAAGCAUCUCCUGGCAGUGACAGUGGCAACUCUGAGGAUCCUGGCCUCUCAGACAGUCCCCCUGCCCUGCAGGCACCCAGCUCUCCUGCCCUCUAUGAGGUUGUCUAUGAGGCAGAGGCCCUGCAGAGGAUGCAGGGGGAAGCCAGGCCAACCUUAGGACUCAUCUCCAUUCAGCUAGGUCAGUUUCUUUGUGGGAAGAGGUCCAGCCCUAGCCAUGAGGUUAAGGGGAUUUCCCCAGCCAAUGCCACUACCCAGCCCCUGGUGCCUCAGGGUGAACCUCUCUUUUGUCCCAGCUUCUUGUGUCUCCUUCAGAUCAGUGGAGCCCACAAUUCAUGGUGCCAGAUGCCUGCAUGGUCAGUGAACUGACCUUUGAUGCUCAUGCACACAUCCUGCCCAGAAGCACUGCAGCCCCAGUGCCUCCUUCCACACUUGUAAGUCUUGGGGUCCGUCAGACCAGUGCUCUGUGAUACAUACAUGUAUCCUCACAGACAGUGGCACAGGGGAUGAGGGAGGGGGAAGCUGAUGAGGAACUGUGUCUUUGCCGCACUUUUCAUGGCACUGAGCCUGAAGACCAAGGCAAUGAAAGCAACUUUAGGAGCAGGAAAGGACAAGGGGGUGAGAGAGAGAGCCGGUGUGGAUAAGGUGGUGAUGACUCAGUUAAGUUGGGAUGAGGGACAAGGCUCUGGAGAAAGCCCACACCUUGUGUGCAUUGCAUGCUUAGCCAGAGCCAUUGUUUCAGCCUUGGGUCAGGACAGAAUUGGGACAGUAGCCUGGGAAUCCAACUGGUUGGUGGAUACAGAGUGAUGGAGAAGAAACUGCAAUAGUGUUUCCACUGUAGCAAAUACCCAGGGGCCAGCUCUUCAGGAACCCUAUCAGAAGCCUUCUGAGGGGGCUGGAGAUUGUGCAGUGAGGUUGGAAAGGUGGCUACAUUCAGGUCACUGUGUCUUCCUUUAUCCUGGGAAUACUUCCCAAGCCCAAAGCAAGGAACAGGUUCUAGCUUCCAUCUAAACUUGUGGGUGAAGCUUGAACCAGAAGCCAAGUCAAGCCAGGUACAGUGUCCCACAACUGUAAUCCCAGCUCCAUGGGAGGCCAAGGCAGGAGGAUUGAAAGUUUGAGGCCAGCCUGGGCAACUUAGUGAGCCCUUGUCCCAAAGUAAAAAGUACCCCUGGGUGCUGUCCCCAGUACUGCAAAAAGAAAAAAAGUGGUUGGCUUAGCUAAAAGCUAAAACAAAUUCUUAAGUCACAAAGUCAAGCAUAAAUCUUUCAAAAAAGAAUGCAGCUUACUCCGUUGAUGGGUCCAGCUUAACCGAAGUCACCAUCUGUCCACUGUCUACUCUGCAUGCUUUACUGUGGGAAGUCACUCAGUGUGACUGCCUACAGGAGUUCCUUGUCUAAGAGGGGGCAGAACCUGAAAGUGGAGUUCAGACCUUGUGGUUCUGUGGUUGACGGGCACUGGAUAACAUACUCUGCCAAAUGGAAGUUAAUGGCUGGAUCUGGAUUGUUAACCUGCUGUUACGAUUUUUUCUUUCUGCUGUAAGGAAAUUGAGCAAACCCCACUGUAGUGAGUACUCCAUGUCCUCUUUUUUUUUUAAGAGAGUGAGAGUGUGAGAGAAGAGAGAGAAUUUUUUAAUAUUUAUUUUUAGUUUUCGGCGGACACAACAUCUUCGUUGGUAUGUGGUGCUGAGGCUCGAACCCGGGCCGCACGCAUGCCAGGCGAGCGCGCUACCGCUUGAGCCACAUCCCCAGCCCUCCAUGUCCUCUUAAGAUGCUCCCAAGUUGUGGGAGACAGGGAUCGGAGCAGGCACUCCCUAGCUUGAUCAGAAUGUCCAGGUCCCAAGUCUCUGAACAGAAGAUAUGAUGAAACCACACCUUCUCCCCUAUCGGCCUCAGGAGAUCCCUUGGCUCUAUCUAGGGCCUGUCUCAAGGCUCUUUUUUUUUUUUUGUACCAGGGAUUAAACCCAGGGUCGUUAACCACUGAAGGAGCUCUUCUUAUUUUUUACUUACAGACAGGGCCUCCCUAAAUUGCUGAGGCUGGCUUUGAACUUGUGACCCUCCUGCCUCAGCCUCCUGAGCUGCUGGGAUUACAGGCAUGUGCCACUGUGCCUGGCCCUCAGCUCACCUCUAGGUUGGAGUUACUCCUUAGUGCAAAUAUUAAGCACUCUCCAGAAUGCAUGGUGGGGUGCUGCUGUGUGCUGAAAAUGUGAUGACCCUGUCCCCGUUCCCAUCUUAUCUUCAAUAUCCCCCAGCUGCCCUGUCAAACUCUGUUCCUGACAGAUGAGGAGAAGCGUCUGCUGGGGCAGGAAGGGGUUUCUCUGCCCUCUCACCUGCCCCUCACCAAGGUAACACCCUUCCCUUUCCCAAAGGGCGUCUCAGUCCAGAGGAUCCAUUAUGGCCUCUGAGAAGCCAGGAUCCCAGGGAAAAGUUGGGCAGUUGAGGGAGGUUAAGGGCCCAGAAUUGACACACCCCCGGCUACCAGGCAGAGGAGAGAAUCCUCAAGAAGGUCAGGAGGAAAAUCC